AAGGUUGGCUGGUCUCUAAGCGACCCAGCUGGGGAAACUGAGUCUCGCGAUGAGCAACACCGGGCUGGCUGGAGGCAGCGCAGAGAAGGCUGCAGUUCUUCUGUUCCCUCGGUUUUAUUCGGAAGCUUGAAGUUCUCUGGUCUGUGCGGGGCUGAGCUAGCCGCGGGUGGUGUCAGGGUGCGGAGGGCAUGAGGUGUGAGGGUUUUCUUUAAAAGUUUGAGACAAGGUCUUAUUCUAAAUCGCUUCCUAAUGCUGACAGUACAAGUGCCACAAUGCCUCGCAAGUGUAUGUGAGAGAGCCAGCGAGCAUGGAGGUUGGAGAACAACCUGUGGGAGUUCUCUUCUUCCACUGUUCGGCGCUCGAACGUCGAACGCAAGUGGUCAGGUUCGACCUAACCAUCUCGCUAUCCUUUUUUUCUUCUUUUCUUUUUUAAAUACAAGGCCUCCAUAUCUAUCUAUCUAUCUAUCUAUCUAUCUAUCUAUCUAUCUAUCUAUCUAUCUAUCUAUCUAUCUAUCUACCUACCUACCUACCUAUCUCCUGGACUUGUUUUGUACCCAAGUUUGGUAUCCAAAGUGCGCCACCACCUGGCAAGGGUAACAAUAAAGUCAUCCAGCAAGAAUUUGCGGAGAUGGUAUGUAGUAGUACAAAUCUCAUCCCCAGACUUUUGUGGGAUUUCUGAUUAUUGCUUUAGGUCUGGGCACGGUGUCACAGCGCCCAGGCAGUGGAAAAGGAGGAUCCGGAGUUCAAGCCUUCUUUAUUACACCAAGAUAUAUUAAUGAAACCGUCUCCAGAGAGAUUCCAAAUCGUGCUGGUAGCUUAGUUCCGUGGUAGUGUUUCCCUGGCAUGCACAAAGCUGUGUGCAUUCCCGGCACUGAUACAAGAAUAAAUAAAAGCUCCGAAACAGAGUCUUGCUUUAUUGCUAGUACCAGUUUAUAUCUUGGCAAGUCCCUUCGCGUCUCCGGUUAGUGUAUCUUUGAGGAUUAGAGGAACUAAACUGAAAACCUGCAAAGCUCCCAGCCAAGACCUGAUAUGUAAAGAUUGGGGAAAUUAUAACAUGGUUAAAGUGCACAUGACCCUUUGCCUACAGUCCCAGACAGACCGCUAGCAUCUAGAUCAGAACAAAGCAGACGAUGUUGGGUUUGUGUGAUGAGUUGACCAAACUGACCAAUUGGAGCCCUUUCUUUGCCAAGCUCCAUUCAGCAGCUGCCCAUUUUUCCAGCAGUUUCUCAAUUGUUCAUGACUUGAUGCUGAUAGAAGAGGUACUCAAGGUACUGUAAUGAAAGCUGGGCGUGGUGGCGCACGCCUUUAAUCCUAGCACUCGCGAGGCAGAGGCAGGCGGAGUUCGAGGCCAGCCUGGUCUACAGAGUUCCAGGACAGCCAGGGCUAUACAGAGAAACCCUGUCUCGAG
rnacentral:lncRNA from 1 species